rnacentral:tRNA from 1 species
GGCCCCAUCGUCCAGAGGCCUAGGACACCAGGUUCUCAUCCUGGGAACAGCAGUUCGAAUCUGCUUGGGGUCA